rnacentral:rRNA from 1 species
UGGGGAAUAUUGGACAAUGGGCGCAAGCCUGAUCCAGCAAUGCCGCGUGUGUGAAGAAGGCCUGCGGGUUGUAAAGCACUUUCAGUGGGGAGGAAAAGCGGGUGCCUAAUACGUGCCUGACUUGACGUUACCCACAGAAGAAGCACCGGCUAACUCCGUGCCAGCAGCCGCGGUAAUACGGAGGGUGCAAGCGUUAAUCGGAAUUACUGGGCGUAAAGCGCACGUAGGUGGUGAUGUCAGUCAGAUGUGAAAGCCCUGGGCUCAACCUGGGAACUGCAUCUGAUACUGCAUGGCUAGAGUUUGGUAGAGGAGAGUGGAAUUUCCGGUGUAGCGGUGAAAUGCGUAGAUAUCGGAAGGAACACCAGUGGCGAAGGCGACUCUCUGGACUAAAACUGACACUGAGGUGCGAAAGCGUGGGGAGCAAACAG